GUUUGGAAAGGCUGAAUGCCACAUGACCCAUAAAAUAUGAACUUUCAGUUUUCAAUCAAAUGAGGAGGGGAAGUGGCUCUGUGUUCUCACCAGAGUGUUUUAAAUAAUCUCCUCUAUAAAUAUAUAUAUGAUUGGACUCUAUAACACUAUAUAUAAUAAAGGUGGGUAGCAAAACCUGUUUUCUACCUCAACAUUGUUUAUGCUAUUUUAAUAAGUUGAAUAAACUUGGGAAACUAAGAAAAUGUCACUUUUCCAACUCUGCCAGGAAGGAAUCUGACAACUGCUACAUAAUCACUGAAAUGCUGCAAUUUGUUAAAAUGCUCCUAAUAAUUUUUUCUGACUUUUAUCCAAAGGCUAAAGUACGACAGAGAGAGAGCAAGAGAAUCGGGCUAAUGAUGAUUAACAUAUUACAGAGAAGGAAGGCUACCAUGAUUAAUUUCAAAGUCAAAGUGCUAGGGAGUUGGCACCUUCACAGAAUCUCUGAUCAGGGGAGAGAGCAGGAGUUUGAAAAGAGUGCAAAAAAAAACCACAGCCUUUAAAAUAAUGAACAGCUUUCCCAAGUCUUGCCAUACUGCAAAAACACCCAUACACCACGCAUGCAUACAAUUCCCAGGGGCUCAUAAAUUAAUUUAGUGACAAAAGAUUGUACCCAAGUGAUAAAGGUCCAGUACUACGAUUAUCUUUAUGGAUAAUUGGGGCCAUAAAAUAGUUCCAAAGCACCUUUUAUUUGUCAUUUGUUGACAAUUCAACCAAUUCUCCUGUCUGCCAUCCUCCAUAUUUAAUAGGUCCCUAUCGAAGUAUGCAACACACUCGUUCGUAUGGGAAGAAUGUCUUCAUAUUGUUAUGCCAUUGCAUAUCCUUUACUUCCUUACGUUGUUCAUCAGUCUACCUCCUGCUCUCUUUUUUUUUCUAUGACACCUCUGAGAUGGUACCCAUAGCAACACCCCUGAGAAGAAGGUGAAAGUGAAGAUGCUGCAGUCAUCCCCAGCGCACAGUGCUGACAAUGCCAGUCAUUAAUGCAGCAGCUUCUGCCUGCUCAGAUCUCCCUCGCUCCUCUCUGGUCUUGUUUCCCUCCAGUAGCAGCCACAGAGCUCACUCACAGAGAUCCAGAGACUUGCUGUUAAUGAUUUGUCACUUGUUUAGAACACCUCAGGAUGGCAGACAACAAGGAAGUUCUGGCAGAUGAAUGGAAGCUAAGCUCUCCUGGAUGGAGAGUGUUAGAAGAGACACUGGAAACUCAGUCCCAAGAUGCUCAGAGGGAAGGAAAGGAGAGAGCAACAACCUCUGGAAGAAAUGGAAGUGGUUAUCACUAAUGCAAACAUAUUACAUUGAAUGAAAGAAUCUUCUUUCACAGCUUUGCAGCAAACACACAGAAGACAUGAAGAAAAUAAGUCCACAGCCCAAAUUAUCACAACGAGUUUGGAACUUAGGAUAUCCUUCAUUUUGGCUAAUCAGAUCCCUUCCUAGUUAUGAUGGGGCAAACUUCGUAAUAACACACAGCCUGGACUCCACCAAUGGGAAUAAUUACCAUCUGUAGAAGUAUUAUGAAACUGCCUUAUAAAAGUUUUUUUAUUAAAUAUAUAAAAUUAAACUCAU
rnacentral:lncRNA from 1 species